GACGAACGCUGGCGGCGUGCUUAACACAUGCAAGUCGAACGGAAAGGCCCUGCUUUUGUGGGGUGCUCGAGUGGCGAACGGGUGAGUAACACGUGAGUAACCUGCCCUUGACUUUGGGAUAACUUCCGGAAACUGGGGCUAAUACCGGAUAGGAGCUCCUGCUGCAUGGUGGGGGGUGGAAAGUUUCGGCGGUUGGGGAGGGACUCGCGGCUUAUCAGCUUGUUGGUGGGGUAGUGGCUUACCAAGGCUUUGACGGGUAGCCGGCCUGAGAGGGUGACCGGCCACAUUGGGACUGAGAUACGGCCCAGACUCCUACGGGAGGCAGCAGUGGGGAAUAUUGCACAAUGGGCGGAAGCCUGAUGCAGCAACGCCGCGUGCGGGAUGACGGCCUUCGGGUUGUAAACCGCUUUCGCCUGUGACGAAGCGUGAGUGACGGUAAUGGGUAAAGAAGCACCGGCUAACUACGUG
rnacentral:rRNA from 1 species